UCCUGGCUCAGAGCGAACGUUAGCGGCGGGCCUAACACAUGCAAGUCGAACGCGAAAGGUCUUCGGACUGAGUAGAGUGGCGCACGGGUGAGUAACACGUAGGUAAUCUACCCUUUGGCGGGGGAUAACGUUCCGAAAGGAGCGCUAAUACCGCAUAAGACCACGGAGUCUCCGGACGCUGUGGGAAAAGGUGGCCUCUUCUUGAAAGCUACCACCGAAGGAUGAGCCUGCGUCUCAUCAGCUAGUUGGUAAGGUAAUGGCUUACCAAGGCGAAGACGGGUAGCUGGUUUGAGAGAAUGAUCAGCCACACUGGCACUGGAACACGGGCCAGACUCCUACGGGAGGCAGCAGUGAGGAAUAUUGGGCAAUGGGCGAAAGCCUGACCCAGCCACGCCGCGUGAGUGAUGAAGGCCCUCGGGUCGUAAAGCUCUGUGGAGAGGGACGAAAACCCUGGUUUCAAAUAGGCUCCAGGCUUGACGGUACCUCUUUAGCAAGCACCGGCUAACUCUGUG
rnacentral:rRNA from 1 species